rnacentral:rRNA from 1 species
CAGUAGGGAAUCUUCCACAAUGGGCGAAAGCCUGAUGGAGCAACGCCGCGUGUGUGAUGAAGGCUUUCGGGUCGUAAAGCACUGUUGUAUGGGAAGAACAGCUAGAAUAGGAAAUGAUUUUAGUUUGACGGUACCAUACCAGAAAGGGACGGCUAAAUACGUGCUAG